UUGCAGAAAUAGCAAGCUGACUUAACUACUGAGAGAUUCUCUAGAUAAAUGAUGGAUUUUGAUCCAGCUUGAAGGUUUUGAUCAUCUGUUAUAAGAGGCAUUAGCUAGACUCCCUCAAUGCUUUGUUCGCAAUUUCGGGGUCUUAAUUGAUACAUAUGUGAUUCUUCGAGAUCCUAAUCCUAAUGAGUUCGAAGUGCAUGUUAUGAAAAAAUCUAAUGACAUGUACUUUGAUCAAGGAUGGUUGGUUCUUAGAAAUGUUUACGACAUAUGGUUUGGUGUUUGGCUUAGUUUUACUUAUGUUAAUCCUAAGCUUUUAAAUAUAACAUAAGAUGUUUAUAAUCUUUACCUCGUAUUUAUAUAAUGUGAUCCUAUUCCAUCUUCAAUAGAUUUUGUAUCUUUCUAA